rnacentral:lncRNA from 1 species
GUUGAUUUAUACACAUUGUCAUCUAGUUCCAAAAGAGAAAGGAUUGAAUCCAUCUUCGCUCUUCUUCUUCAUCGAGGUCCACGUUAAAAAUUGCAUGUGUGAAUUCUAUACCACAUACACUUACAUUUUCAGUUUGUUAAAGCAUUCCAUAAUGAUUUGAAGUUUAAUGGCUCUGUUCUGAUCUCUUGAGUAGGAUGAACAACAACAAGCCAA